CAGCAGCCGCGGUAAUACGUAGGUCCCGAGCGUUGUCCGGAUUUAUUGGGCGUAAAGGGCACGCAGGCGGUUUCUUAAGUCUGAUGUGAAAGCCCCCGGCUCAACCGGGGAGGGUCAUUGGAAACUGGGAAACUUGAGUGCAGAAGAGGAGAGUGGAAUUCCACGUGUAGCGGUGAAAUGCGUAGAGAUGUGGAGGAACACCAGUGGCGAAGGCGACUCUCUGGUCUGUAACUGACGCUGAGGAGCGAAAGCGUGGGGAGCGAACAGGAUUAGAUACCCCCGUAGUCCCUGUCUCUUAUAC
rnacentral:rRNA from 1 species